GGACGAACGCUGGCGGCGUGCCUAAUACAUGCAAGUCGAACGAACUCUGGUAUUGAUUGGUGCUUGCAUCAUGAUUUACAUUUGAGUGAGUGGCGAACUGGUGAGUAACACGUGGGAAACCUGCCCAGAAGCGGGGGAUAACACCUGGAAACAGAUGCUAAUACCGCAUAACAACUUGGACCGCAUGGUCCGAGCUUGAAAGAUGGCUUCGGCUAUCACUUUUGGAUGGUCCCGCGGCGUAUUAGCCAGAUGGUGGGGUAACGGCUCACCAUGGCAAUGAUACGUAGCCGACCUGAGAGGGUAAUCGGCCACAUUGGGACUGAGACACGGCCCAAACUCCUACGGGAGGCAGCAGUAGGGAAUCUUCCACAAUGGACGAAAGUCUGAUGGAGCAACGCCGCGUGAGUGAAGAAGGGUUUCGGCUCGUAAAACUCUGUUGUUAAAGAAGAACAUAUCUGAGAGUAACUGUUCAGGUAUUGACGGUAUUUAACCAGAAAGCCACGGCUAACUACGUGCCAGCAGCCGCGGUAAUACGUAGGUGGCAAGCGUUGUCCGGAUUUAUUGGGCGUAAAGCGAGCGCAGGCGGUUUUUUAAGUCUGAUGUGAAAGCCUUCGGCUCAACCGAAGAAGUGCAUCGGAAACUGGGAAACUUGAGUGCAGAAGAGGACAGUGGAACUCCAUGUGUAGCGGUGAAAUGCGUAGAUAUAUGGAAGAACACCAGUGGCGAAGGCGGCUGUCUGGUCUGUAACUGACGCUGAGGCUCGAAAGUAUGGGUAGCAAACAGGAUUAGAUACCCUGGUAGUCCAUACCGUAAACGAUGAAUGCUAAGUGUUGGAGGGUUUCCGCCCUUCAGUGCUGCAGCUAACGCAUUAAGCAUUCCGCCUGGGGAGUACGGCCGCAAGGCUGAAACUCAAAGGAAUUGACGGGGGCCCGCACAAGCGGUGGAGCAUGUGGUUUAAUUCGAAGCUACGCGAAGAACCUUACCAGGUCUUGACAUACUAUGCAAAUCUAAGAGAUUAGACGUUCCCUUCGGGGACAUGGAUACAGGUGGUGCAUGGUUGUCGUCAGCUCGUGUCGUGAGAUGUUGGGUUAAGUCCCGCAACGAGCGCAACCCUUAUUAUCAGUUGCCAGCAUUAAGUUGGGCACUCUGGUGAGACUGCCGGUGACAAACCGGAGGAAGGUGGGGAUGACGUCAAAUCAUCAUGCCCCUUAUGACCUGGGCUACACACGUGCUACAAUGGAUGGUACAACGAGUUGCGAACUCGCGAGAGUAAGCUAAUCUCUUAAAGCCAUUCUCAGUUCGGAUUGUAGGCUGCAACUCGCCUACAUGAAGUCGGAAUCGCUAGUAAUCGCGGAUCAGCAUGCCGCGGUGAAUACGUUCCCGGGCCUUG
rnacentral:rRNA from 1 species